rnacentral:misc_RNA from 1 species
GAUGAAGAACGUAGCGAAAUGCGAUAAGUAAUGUGAAUUGCAGAAUUCAGUGAAUCAUCGAAUCUUUGAACGCACAUUGCGCCCUCUGGUAUUCCGGGGGGCAUGCCUGUUCGAGCGUCAUUAUAACCACUCAAGCUCUCGCUUGGUAUUGGGGUUCGCGGUUUCGCGGCCCCUAAAAUCAGUGGCGGUGCCUGUCGGCUCUACGCGUAGUAAUACUUCUCGCGAUUGAGUUCGAUAGGUCUACUUGCCAGUAACCCCCAAUUUUUACAGGUUGACCUCGGAUCAGGUAGGGAUACCCGCUGAACUUAAGCAUAUCAAAAGGGAGGA